rnacentral:rRNA from 1 species
GACGAACGCUGGCGGCGUGCUUAACACAUGCAAGUCGAGCGGUAAGGCCCUUCGGGGUACGACGAGCGGCGAACGGGUGAGUAACACGUGGGUGGACCUGCCUCAGCUCUGGGAUAAGCCUGGGAAACUGGGUCUAAUACCGGAUAUGACUCCAUGACGCAUGUUGUGGGGUGGAAAGCCUUGUGCGGCUGAGGAUGGGCCCGCGGCCUAUCAGC